GAGCUUCCGUUGAAUGACGUGCUUGCACUGAUUUCAACAAUGAAGCGAGUGGCGAACUGGUGAGUAACACGUGGGGAAUCUGCCCAGAAGCAGGGGAUAACACUUGGAAACAGGUGCUAAUACCGUAUAACAACAAAAUCCGCAUGGAUUUUGUUUGAAAGGUGGCUUCGGCUAUCACUUCUGGAUGAUCCCGCGGCGUAUUAGUUAGUUGGUGAGGUAAAGGCCCACCAAGACGAUGAUACGUAGCCGACCUGAGAGGGUAAUCGGCCACAUUGGGACUGAGACACGGCCCAAACUCCUACGGGAGGCAGCAGUAGGGAAUCUUCCACAAUGGACGAAAGUCUGAUGGAGCAAUGCCGCGUGAGUGAAGAAGGGUUUCGGCUCGUAAAACUCUGUUGUUAAAGAAGAACACCUUUGAGAGUAACUGUUCAAGGGUUGACGGUAUUUAACCAGAAAGCCACGGCUAACUACGUGCCAGCAGCCGCGGUAAUACGUAGGUGGCAAGCGUUGUCCGGAUUUAUUGGGCGUAAAGCGAGCGCAGGCGGUUUUUUAAGUCUGAUGUGAAAGCCU
rnacentral:rRNA from 1 species